rnacentral:rRNA from 1 species
AUUGAACGCUAGCGGGAUGCUUUACACAUGCAAGUCGAACGAGUGGCGGACGGGUGAGUAAUGUAUGGGGAUCUGCCCGACAGAGGGGGAUAACUACUGGAAACGGAGCUAAUACCGCAUACUAUCGGAUGAACCCAUAUGGGAUUAGCUAGUAGGUGAGGUAAUGGCUCACCUAGGCGACGAUCCCUAGCUGGUCUGAGAGGAUGAUCAGCCACACUGCGACUGAGACACGGCGCAGACUCCUACGGGAGGCAGCAGUGGGGAAUUUUGGGCAAUGGGGGAAACCCUGAUCCAGCCAUCCCGCGUGUAUGAUGAAGGCCUUCGGGUUGUAAAGUACUUUUGGCAGAGAAGCGGUAUCUGCAGAAUAAGCACCGGCUAACUACGUGCCAGCAGCCGCGGUAAUAC